CACCAGUUUAUGUAGUUUAGUACAGAGAUGUAUAUUAAGUGUUUUUGUAAAUCGUACUUUAUUCUUAUGUGCUGUUUUAAGGUUUGGAUUGUAUAAGUUUAAGCUUAAAAGUCUUACUCUGAUUACCUAGUUGGAAUUAUAUGCUUUUACUAUAUGGUUUGUAGACGCCUUGUGUAGACUUGAGUUGUGGUGUACACGGCGGGUCUGUGCACGCGACCGG
rnacentral:lncRNA from 1 species